AAAACGCCAUGCUGUUCAGUAACAGCAACGGCAAACACUCCCUUUGGACUGAGGCAUAACGCUUCGCUUCCCGCUUAAAUGGUUUUGCACUGAAGAGCUGGCACGUUACUCCCCACAGGUGGCUGCGUUUCAGCGGCUGGGUGACGGCAGCCUCCGUUUCUUCUUUCAGCCACAGUGAGUGCUAAACAUAACAUAGGGCUCCUCUAUUUCCACAGGCUAUUAACCUUCUAAAACAUUUACCUCUGAGGCUAAACUUCGCAGUGCUUCGGCUUCAAUUCCGAGAAAUAUCUCUAUUCAGAACCAACGCACUGAGAGGGAAUUAAGACCCCUUGCAACAAAUGGACACUGUUUCAGGCUGAGCCUAUGAACAAGAAUUUCCUGUUUUGCAGUGAGCACUGCUAGAGGACCUCUGCUACAUCAUUCCUAUUUUAACUCUGAAGAUGAGCCGCCUAUCCUGAAAAUACUGUUUUGACUGGUUUUGUGGAGGCUGGAGCCACAGCAGAGAAGAGGUAGCUCCUGGCGUACGAGGUCUGUGCGUACUCGCCGGGGCCGAGCUCUGUCACAGCAGCAGGAGUUUCCCCAUGGCUCAGCCCAUCCUCCUCAGCCUCUGCCCGAGUCACUGUAGGUAACUGCUCCGCCAGAUAAUACCAGGGAAAAAAGGUCUAUGGUAUUUAAUAUAUACUUGAUGCAAUUUUUUCUCCAUACGGAACGCCUUGUUUGACUAUAUCAGAUGUUCAAAUAGAGGCCAUUAGCAUUCUGUCUCUGAACAAAGCACUUUCCUCUGCACUAAGUUGUCCAGGUAAUGGUAAAAAGUAAUUCUGAAGGCUGAUACUAAGUAUAAUUGAACGCAUUCAGGGCACAACUGCAAAUCUUUUGAAGUCGUCAUAAACCAUGCAAAACUACUUCCUUGGUGACAGUUUGUUGAGCAUAAAACUGGAAUUUGAAGAGCCUAAGCUAUUGAUUUCCAUUCAGUGAGACACUCAGCACAGCUUACAGGUCUGUUACAUUCCAUAGAGAUGCAGUGUCUCCUGAACAUCGGAUGAUACCGUCUAUAUUAUAAAUAUCGCUACAACGCUGCUGGUGUGUGUGUGUGUGUGCACACAAUAGAUGCACAUUGGUAGCUAGGGUAGGAAUAUAUUUAUUUCGCACACUUUAAAUACUUUCAAAAUUAGGGAGCAGCAGAACUGUGGUUUUAUACAUUCUCCAUCUCUUGUCUAGUGCAUAUGGUGUCUAAAGUAACUAGCAGCAUGGUUUAAAAUAGCAAAAUUGUGACCACGACCUCAAAGGCAGCAUGGAUGGCUUCUCUAGAAUCUCUAGGUAUUUGUUUUAGAAAAUGUCUUUAUUCCUAUGUAUUAAAAGUUUGGGAAUUCCUCAGUGUUGCUGAUACAAGCAUUUGUGGAGCUGGGUGGAAUGGCUUCAAGCUAAAACCAAGCAAAAGAUGUCAUGAAUGUAAAGAGUAUUUCUUCCUUUUUUCAUCUUUGUUCUCUUAUUAUAUAUUGUAUACAGCUCGCGUUUGAGAUACCAUAAAUUGGAAAUCCCAUGCAGAUUUAGUAUCGUGUAGUCACUGGCACUGUAGCAAUAAUUAAACGGAGUUGUGAACAA